rnacentral:lncRNA from 1 species
CUCCCUGCUCCCAAGAAGAGCUCUCAAGGCUCAGUUGGCCGAGAGCAGCACUGUGACUCAGAUGAUGGCAAACCCCUGGUCCUCCUGGCUGGGCCCCAGCUCCAGUAUCUUUUUGGUGGAUAUGAUCCUGGGCUUUGUGUAUGAACUGGGGCUCUUCCUUCUGUUACUGCCCUACCUCCCAGGUGAACAAUCCUUACCACCAUCAAGGAAAGAAAAACAUCGGAAAGAUCUACAGAAAUCAGCCAAGAGGAGGACAGGAGAUAGCUGUGUUGGUGGGAAAUCUAAAGAGCAUGGUGUGAAGCUGCAUUGAGCAAAGCUACUUGUGGAUGGAAUAUGUACAGAGCACCCCACAGUUAAUGUGUUUGUAUGCAUAACAGUGAAUUGAUAUUGACAUUUUCAACGUGAGCUUAAGAUAGUUUUAAUCAUUAGUCUAGUAUCUACUGAUAGACUUUUGGUCAAAUAACUGAUCUGUAUAAACCAAAGUCCUUCCAUUUUCUUAGAGUGAUGGAAGGCUUGUA